UCUUCCAAUAAUUUGUGAAAUUUUGAUAAAUGUAAUUAUUGUCUCGUUUUUUUCAAAAUGAGAAGGGUGAGGUUUUCAAGACACUAAGGGAGGGGGCAGACCAAAAUGGAUACAUUUUGUCUUUUAUAGCCUGUUAGGGAGCCCUCAUCCUAGCUAUGUUACAUUCUUUCCUGUUCCAGAAGGAUUUUCUUUGUUACACAAGAAUAGAGCCUGGAUUUAUAUGUCACACAACUUAUAAAGUACUUCUAUUUGGCCUCUCCAUGAGCAUCACAUUUUGGGUGAAGUUGUCGUUACUAGCCCUAUGUUAACUAAGUAGAUACUUAGUGCAAAGGAAGAGAUUGGUGAAAGAACAGAGUUACAGAGUUACCAGGGGGAGGUGCUGGGCAGGGUGUUUCCACAACACUCUCCUUGCCUGGGACAAUGCUGCUAGCACUAGUAAGUGGCUAGUGCUAUUAUAUUUUUAGUUCCUUUCCUUCUGAAAACAAAAGCUCUCUACUGCUCCAUGCAGCCUUUGGAGAUUGAAUUCUUCCCAAAGUGUAGGAAGGACAGUUAAAGCCGCUGUCAACCCAAUGCCCAUGGUCCCGAAUAAACCAAGAAAAGACAAUGCGUGAUUUCCUUGGCCCUCUAUGAUCCCACCCCCACCCCACCAGCCACCACCCACCCCUGCCCCGUAUCUUCCUCUGGGUCCUAGUUUGGGCUUUGAAAUCAGGACUACAAGAUAGACAGUACAAGAACAGCAGAGAUGGAAGACAGCCUGCAGCAGUGCAAUGCUGAGCACGCCAGUCUCAUCUUAGAAGCCACUUGGAUGAGAAAAACACACACACAAUGUUUCCGAGCUAAGACAUCAAAUGCUUCCAGCUGAUGAAGAGACUCCCAGAUGAGAUUUUUAAAAGUAUGAGAAGAACUUCCGCAUCAGUCUACACAAGUGUGUAGAGGAGGCAACAUGUGAAUUGCAACCCUGGCAAGAAAAAUGAAGUCAACCACCAUAAAAUACUCUUCUAAAACCUAGACUCCUUUUCGAAUGCACACAGAAAAGAGAUCGUCACGUAUUUGUCUUUUUCUUCUGUGAUCCUUGCCUAGCGCCCUCGCCUCCAGGUUCAUCUGAGCUGCCGCGAAUACAGGAAGAAGUUCCUAACAAAGUGAAUCUUAAAACAGUGAGAGGAAGCUGUUCUGUGACCCAUGCAGAACAAAACAGCAAGCAAAAGAAAACACCGCAGGUCACAUCCUGAGGCGCAGAGAGGGGAGAAGCGUGCAGGCUACUGAGGGUGACAUUAUAGAGAAAACCAGAGCAAGAAGGUAACAACUGGAGCUGGGAAGACCAAAGAACCCUGAAAGCUACAAGAUCCCGUGAGUGUCUGGAAGAGGCCUUUGACAAUAGCCAUUUACAUGGACUCAAGCAAUCACAUUGCAGCCAGGGAGGCCAGGCAAAAACUCAGUUGCAUUGAGAAACAGUGGGUGCCUAACACUGGACAGGAUCACCAGGCUGAAGCAGGAA